CUUUUAAAGGAUAAUAGUAAUCCGUUGGUCUUAGAAACCAAAAACUCUUGGUGCAACCCCUAGUAAAAGU
rnacentral:tRNA from 1 species